UAGGCAAAAAGGCUAAAAGCGUCCAUAUCAACAAGUCAACAUGCCAACUAGUUGUUGUGCAUUUAACUGCAUCAGCAGGCAGAGUAAAAGGAGUGGAAUUAGUUUUUUUAGAAUCCCAAAAGACGUAGAAAGAAGAAAACAGUGGCUUCAUGCAAUAAAGAGAGGAUCUGUCGACAAAUCUGAUGAACCAUGGGAUCCCAAAGGCCAUGAGAGAAUAUGCGGGAAACAUUUCAUGUCAGGCAAAGCAUCAGAUAAUCCGAAGCAUCCUGAUUAUGUCCCCUCCAUAUUUGAUUUUCCAACAACACCUCACCAGCAGGAGAAAUCCUUAAAGAGUAAAUGCAACAGAGCUGCAAAAAGACAGAAGAGAGGACCAGGCUGCUGGAACACCUCUGGACUAAAGUUUUACCGGAUCCCCACCGGGUCACGGCCAUCUGCAGGCUGAAGUGCACCCACCUUCCCGAGGAGCAGAGCAGGGCAUCAGGGCAUUGCCUCUGCAGCCUCUUAUUUCAUAUCAGGUACAUCAGGUAACUAAUUACAAAUACUCACGUUACUGCAAUUGAGUAGAUUUUGUGAGUAAUUAUACUUUUUAAACUUGUAAUUCAGUAUAAUUCUACCCAUGCAAUAGACCCUCUCAAAUCUUAUAUCACCAGAUGCCUCAAACUUCUGCAGUAGAGGCAAAAUUAAGCACAUAACAUAAUAUAUUUACAACCAUUAAUUGACAAGCAGACCUAAAUGCAAAUGGUUUUAUGACAUUAUAACAAAAAAUAAGCAACAGUUUUGAAUUUCCAAGGUACAAAUCUUAUUUGCUUUGUUUCACUCUUCAGAAGGAUGGGAAAAAAUGCAGUUUUCUAACCCGAAAAUAGUAUUUGGGCUUCACAAAAAGUAUAAUUUAUGUUGAAAUGUGUAAUAUAUCUGUAGAUGAAGUGGGCUUAACAAGGAUUUGUUCAGUAAAACCUCAAAAUGUGGAUUUUGCCUUUGAAAAAUGCUUGGUGUCUAUCAUAAACUCUUGUCAAUUAAAAAAAACACAAUUGUAAGCAUUUUUAAACUGGCUCUGAUAUCAUUUACAUGUAUCAAAGUGGUUUUCAUUUUCCAAAUUGUCCUCGAUUUUUAAUAUUUUGUGAUAUUCUGAAAUCCCAUUUUUUUCAUUAAAAUCACAUUAUGUUUCACUUCAUGUUUGCCUCCAGCUGCCUCCAUUCUGGAGUUUAGAAUCUUUUUGUUUACAAUUUUUCAAAGAGUCUAUAGUAAUUUGUUAUAUAUUUUGUUUAAAUCAUAUGACUUCUGAUUACAGCACAAAUCCCAGUUGUCUCACCUCUUGAUCUGCUCCUUUCUACACAGAUCAUGGAAGUAUAAUCCAUGUGACAAACACACACCAGAGCACUGCAUUUCCUGCUCAGAGCUCCAGGCCAGAGCAGGUUGUAGUUUGAAACGACUUAUUUGCUUCAAACUGUUUAUGGAAUAAAUCUUGAUCUAAAAAGUUGCUAAAAAUCUGGAGAAAAGUACUCUGGAUAAUAUUUAUAAUAUGUAUGUUUAACUUUUACUUCAGUACAAUUUUAGAAGCAGUACCUGUAAUUGAGUAUAUUUUUUUAGCCAUGUAACUGUACUUCUACUUGAGUACAAAUUUGCAGUGCCCUUUCCACCACUGGGUACAAACAAUUAUCAUCCGUAGUUUUGAUGAAAUGAAGUUCUUGAUUACACGUCUCCAUCGGACUUUAUCUGCUUUCCAAAACUAUCAGAGGGAGGCAGCAGUUCUUCUUUACCCACAGACUCCAAAGAAGAUUGCAUUGCAAAGUGGAACAACGACCAACAAGACCCAUGAAGGUCUGACUAUUGUGUAUUGACUGCCCACGAAACAAUGUCCUGUAACGGAACCACAGAGCACUGUUGUUGGGGCUUGUGCAGGUCGGACUAAGCAGCCCUGUGUAUGUUUGUUUGCCGGCAUUUGUCAGACACUGCAAAUUAACGCUGUUAGAUAUUAUGGAUACAGUUGAUUAAAUGAGGGGUAAAAUAAAUACACCGUAUUUGUAUUUUGCAGGGAAGAUGUCCUUGGACUACAACAAUCCAGAUUUUGCGCCUUCUGUCUUAAAAAAUGACAAAAACAACAAAGCUUGUAAGAAGAGAAAACAGACAAAACUCGAAAGAAAAGCUGCAACAUUGCAUUCUCAGCCGGGGAGAACGUCGAGAUCGAAUGGCCCGAACUUGACGAUCUGAGUGCGCCACAUCCAGCUGCAGGUGGGGUACACGGACCUGCAAGCCAAGGUGGACUCUCUGUUGGCCGAGAAUGACAGACUGAAGGAGGAUUUGUACCGCGCCCUGCCCCGAUUCUCCUACUCCUCUCUGAAAGGGGACGACGCACAGCUCAUGUUCCUCAGCGGGCUCCACUCGCUCGUUUUCGACUGGCUGGUAACGCAAAUCACGGCCAGAACCCAAAGACUAAACCUUGAGCUAAACACGCAAGAUCAUCUUUUAAUCGUACUGAUGAAGCUGAAGCUAGGACUUUGCGAUAGGGACUUGGGGUAUAGAUUCAGAAUACGAGAAAGUUCUGUCACGACCAUUUGUCAAACGUGGAUACCCGCUGUUGCUUUCAUGUUGAAGCCUCUUAUAGCUUGGCCGAAUGUUGAAACAGUCGCGAAGCAAAGGCCAGCUAUGUUUGAACGUAAAUUUAGCAAAUGUAGAGGUAUCAUUGACUUCCCAGAGUUCAUUGUCACUAAAACUACUGACAAAGCGCCAGAAAACACUACAGUUAGAUAUUUCUCGAGCGUCACUCCAGCAGGAACAGUUUCGUUUUUGUCUUCGGGGUAUAGCGAAGACAUGUCCAAAAGUCAAAUCGCAAAGGAAUGUGGAUUCUUACAUUUGUUGGAGCGGCAAGACGAGAUUUUAUCACGCAAGAAGAUUAACGUAAAAGACGAUCUAGCUUCUCUCGGCGCCACCCUGCAUACACCAGAGUACGUCGACGGAAAAUUGGUGCCCAAAAGUGACCUCGAAAAAAUGGUUUGGACUCACGCGAAGAACGUGAUCGGGUGGUGGAAGGACUUCAAAUUGCUGGAAAAGGUUGUCCCAGAAACCUACGGGAACUUGUUGGAUGAUGUGCUGACAGUUUGCGCGGCGCUUACCAAUGUGAAUUUGAGCGUGUUUCCAAAUUCCAGUGAUAAAAAAUCAUAAAGUUCUGAAGAAAUAUGGCUAAAAAACAGUUAUGCAAGUUAAGUAAGAUGGCUUUACACAGCGAUAGACCACGCCAAUAUUUGCACUAACUACUUUAACUACUUUAAUCUCGAGCAGAAGCCGAUAUUUUUUUCUUUUGGCCCAACCAGCUGCCUCCAAUACAUAUAAAGAAUAAACGCAAACCUUUUUUUAGAAUACUUAAGCUCAAGAAGGUAUUGCAAAAAUGUAACUACACUGAUUCCUUAUCCAGUUUGUACUAAAGCAACUCACCCAAAAAAAUUACAGUUUGAACGCUCACAUUGUCCAGUUGCAAAGAGAAUUGGUGUAUGGAGUAACGGUUUCUGAGAUAUCGCAAUCAAAUUUUUAAACAUUUUUUCAAAUUACUCCAUUGCUGCAUUUACUCCGCAGCUACUGGUCCGAAUAUCAAAAACCAAGGUAUCUCUGGAAGGGUAAAUCAUAAGGAAUCCAAAUCCAAAUCAGUUAUCUUUGCAUUUGAGUACUUUAGAGAUGAAUUACCUUUUGACUUAUAACUUAAUCUUGAAAUUGACAAUAAGGGACACGCCCGACCUCAAUGACAACAAUAGAAAAAAAUGGACCCCAAUAUGUCUACUACAACAUAUAAAAAAUCUGGAGGGGUUGUCUUUUUUAUUUUCACACUUAUUUACCUAGAAGUUGACAUCUUAAGACUUGCCAUAAUUUCCCCUUUCCAGAGAUAGCUUGGUUUUUGAUAUCGGAUCAGUCAGUAGUUGCUGAGUAAAUGCAAUUUGAAAUUCGGCGACCACACAAAAAAGUGAAAAAAUUAAAUUGUAAUAUCUCGGAAACUGUUGGUCCGAUCAGAUUUGAUAAUUUGAGUAAAACUGACUUAACUGGCCUUACAUAUUGGACAUCGGUUUCUCUGGAUCCUCUCGGCAUUGACCAUGAAAAGAAAAAUCGGUUUAGCUCUCUCUCAGGUUUCUCUUUUGUAAUUUUAUAUGUGACUAUACCAAACACAACAGACGCUCACCUCCUGCCUUUUUGUGAAAUGCAAUAUGGAUUUCAUUUGCCGUAGUAUGGUAAAAUAUUGUCUUUCUGAAAACUGGAAAAAUAUAUGUUGAUAUUGUGAAUGGUUUUGGUAGGCUGAAAUAGUUUUUUGUGAUUUAAAAUUACGUUUCAGCAGUGUUGAUAUACAAUAAAGUAUAUAGUUUAUAUAAAAAGUAAAUUUGUUGAAGUUUCUUGUACACUGACGUGAAUUUCAGUUGGUAUAGUUCAAUGGUAACUUAACAACUCUCUGUGCUUUCCUUGCUGGUAUUCUUCCUUACUGUAAUUCUGAAUGUAUAUGACAGAAUUAAGUGCAGAUAAAUUCAGUGUACAAUUUUUGGCAUUUUUACAAAAAUAAAAAUUAAAUGAUAAUAAAUACUGACAUAAAACUGUCAUAAUUAAUAAUAAAAACAAAUAAACUCCAGAAAUACUUUUUAUUAACACAUCUUGUACAG